rnacentral:rRNA from 1 species
UACAGAGGGUGCGAGCGUUAAUCGGAAUUACUGGGCGUAAAGCGCACGUAGGUGGCGACGUAAGUCGGGUGUGAAAGCCCCGGGCUCAACCUGGGAAUUGCAUUCGAGACUGCAUUGCUGGAGUACGGAAGAGGAGGGCGGAAUUCCCGGUGUAGCGGUGAAAUGCGCAGAUAUCAGGAAGAACACCAAUGGCGAAGGCAGCUCUCUGGGACGGUACUGACGCUGAGACGCGAAAGCGUGGGGAGCGAACAGG